AGCCGCGCCCCUCGCAGGCAGAGAGAGGCCGAACUUGCUGCAUUGCAGCCGCCGCCGCGCCGCUCCACUCCUCCCGGAUAACAAUGGCGGCUCCAAGCCCGAGCGGCGGCAGCGGGAGCGGCUCUCCCGGUGCCGUGGGGCCCCCAGGGCCGGGCCACACGGCCGUCAGCAGCAUGCAGGGGCUUGAAAGAUCAGCUUGAUUGUGUUAGCCUGGGCCGAAAGUUGGAGCAAAAUUGGACAUAAGUUCUCUAAGUAGUAAUGAAAAGGACCAUUUUAGAGAAAUCUGAGAAGACUUCAAUGAAUUGAACCACAACUCCAGAAGACUGCUAAUGAAGGAUACUACCCACCUCUGACAGAAAGGAAGGUCACCCUCGUAGACUAAGGGUAAAAUCAUAAGCCAGGAGAUUCAGAAAAGGUUAGCUGAUGACUUCACACUACCAUAUUAUCUUCUCACUGUGGAGCUGAACGUGACAAGAAACUUUAGUCAGAUCUGACAAAGCAACAGAAUGUGUUCAAGAUCACCCUGAAAACCCUGGAGGACAACUUGCUCUCUCGCCUCUCCUCUGCAUCUGGGAACUUCCUGGGAGAUACAGCCUUAGUAGAAAACUUAGAGAUCACCAAACAAACAGCUGCGGAAAUUCAGAAAAAGGCUCUUUCAUCAAUGGAAGAAUUCUGUAAUCUGGAUAGGGACAUUGAGGGAUCUGCCAAGCAUUGGAAGAAAUUUGUGGAGUCAGAAUGCCCUGAGAAGGAGAAAUUCCCCCAGGAGUGGAAAAACAAGUCAUCUCUGCAACAACUGUGUAUGAUGAGGACAAUGAGACCUGACCGCAUGACAUACGCUAUGAGGGAUUUUGUAGAAGAAAAGUUAGGAAGCAAAUAUGUGGUGAGCAGAGCACUAGAUUUUUCUAUCUCCUUUGAAGAAUCAAGACCUGCAACUCUCAUGUUCUUCAUAUUGUCUCCAGGUGUUGACCCGCUGAAGGAUGUAGAGAAAGAAGAUAAGAGGACCUCACAUUAGAACCAACACUAAGCUGAUACCACACCUUUUUGAAAAAAACGGUUUUUACCAAACACCAAAUAAAAUUAGGAUUUCCAUAUGCAAAGUAGAGCAGAAAAAGAGGAUUGUAUAUGAAACCAGAAAUAUUACAUAAUAGCUUGCUUUUACUUUUAAGUAAUAAUAUAAUUGAAUAUUAUUAUAUUCAACAUGCAGUUGUUUUAUCAAAGUUUAAUAAUGUUCAGUACAAAGAAAAAGCAUAACAAGACAGCUUUAUUGAGGGGACAUACUUACAAUCAAGAAGGGUAGUCAGGGACAAUGGAAACAAGUCAGGUCCACUGGGGCUCCAGGUGGAACCAGGAACAGUAAAAUCUGAUGAGUUUUUAACAGGGUUCUUAACUAAGUCAAGCAGGACCAGGUAAAGGGGAAACAAAUGGGAAAGAGACUGAGGAGGCUGGACCUGGGUAUUGGUGCUCGUUCAUGCUAGUUGCAUGGUGCAGGGUUGGGGGUGGGGUGGGGAGGAGAAAGGAAUCCAAGUACCCACCUAGGCUAGGAGCCAGUUACAUAGCAGUUAUAUGAGGCUUUCCUGGAAUAGCUGCCUUGCCCAGUCCACUCAGAAGCCCCAGUGGAGCCAGUGCCCCCAGAAACUCAGAUGGAACCAAAAGAAGAAAUCUACAGCUCCUUUCUCUGUCCUAAUAUCUCUGAUGUCUGUGGUGAUAUUGCUAUUGGAUUGAUUGUGUCCUGUUCCUUAUAGAAGUUAUGUGCCUGCUAACUUUUCCUGUGUUACUGAUGCAGAAGCAGCAUGAGCUGCCCAGCAAGGUACAGGAGGUGCCUUGCAAGGCCACCCACACACACACACACACACACACACACACACACACCUUCUACCUCUGACACUAUGUAAUUGACAGAUGGUGGAAUAGAGGAAAUUUCAAUCUUAGUGUGAAAGAGGUAGAUAACAAAAGAAAAACGGCGGGAAUGUGGUAGGGCAAAAUUGUGGUUCCCUGUGGCAUUGAUGGAAACUUUAUAGCCCAGCUCAUGGCACACAAGAGGUCAGCUAAGUUGUCCAACUCCUGAGGCACAGCACAUGAUGGUAUGAUUUGUCAGAUAUCUCAUGGGAGUUUCCAUAGAAAGCUGUCUUAAUGUCAUCAACCUGCUGUUCUCAGCUGCCUGCAAUUAAAACAAAACAAAACAAUGACUACAAUUAAAAAAAACCUUCUUUACCUCCCCUCCCCUCUUCUUCCAAGACAAAAGUCAAGAUAACUGGUGAUGGCCUGGGAUCCCGUAGAUGACCUUGGCAUCUUCAAUGUCUGACCCACCUCUAAGCACUGCACACUUCCUGCCUCAGCUGUCUUCGUGGCCAUUGGAAGAAAUUGUUCUCAUCUACCCAUUCUAUUGAGGGGAAGUCUCCACAUGUUUGGGGUAGACAUCCCCUUAAACUCACUGAAGGGUUUGAGACCUGUUGGUCACCCUCAACCUGGGUUAGCCCGUCUGCAAGACGAUUUUACCAGGGUGUGCCUGCGGAGCAUGCCACUGCUUCUUGGAGCACAGGUGAGAGUUGGAUGACAGGUGGACAGCAAAGGCAGAUAAGCAGCCCUGAAAAUGGCCCAACAAGUCCUCACACCAGAGGUGCUAGUCUUCCCUGAAUAUCAUUACUAAUUAAAGAGAUGCAGAUUAAAAGUUCCUCCUCAAACCUACCUAUCAGACUGGCAAACAUGACAAAACAGGAAAAUUACAAAUAUUGAAGGAGCUGAAAGGCAAGAAAGUUACACUUUUUCAGAGUGCACCUUUGGUGAGGUUGUGCAUUGGUCUAGUCAUUCUGGAAAAUGAUUUUCAACCACAUACAGAAACUUACUGAAAUGUAUGUACCCAGUGACAUAGCUAUACCACUUUUGGGCUUAUAUGCCCACAGAAAUCAAUGAAAGAGGAAAGGACCUAUAAGCACAAAAGUAUUUCUAGAACCUCUUUUCAUGGUAACUGAACAUUGAAAACCAAGGUGAUGUCUUCCUAAUGGCAAAUGGCUAAACAAAACUGUAGCAUAUAGAUGUGAUAGAAUAUUCUUGUACCAUAAAAAAUGAUGAAAUGGACUAUUUCAGAGGGAACUGGAAGGGCCUCCAUGAAGCUAUUAAUAUAGAGCAAAUUGAAUAUAACUAGAGUAAUUUAUACAAUGAUAAUAUUAAUGAGAAAAACAACUUUGAAAGAUGUUAGAAGUCUUUCAAUGCAAUGACAAACCAUAUGCACAAAAGAUGGAAGACAAAACAGGUCACUCACCUCCUGGCAGAGGAAGAGGUGAUAAACUUAGAAUACAGAGAGACAGACAUUUUCACACGUUGCCAAUGUGGCGAUUUGUUUUGCUGGACUAUGAAGCUGUGCAUUGUGAAUUUCAUUUUUAAAAUCUUUUUGGGGUUGGGGGAAAGGGUGGAUGAUGGAAGGAACAGAUUAAGAAAAUAAAAAGGAGAUUUGUUUUUUUAUGAUACACACAUUUAUUUCAGAAUAAUCCAUUAUAUGGUGGUGGUGUUCUGAAUUAAAACUUCAGGCAAUAACCACACUCCCACAAAAGAAUGAUAAAAGUACAGUGUGUCACCUGGCUACUAAAAGAAAAAGAAUAUUUCCAUGGGCUGCCUUAGUGAGAUGGGACUGUUACUGAUGGUACAGUUUUGGACAAUAAAGGGAAAGUGUUUAUUGGGGGCAAAAUGGAUUAAGUGCAUAGGAUUUAAAGGGGCAACAUUUUUUUAAAAGCAUUGUAUAGUCUAUAUAAUAAAAUAAAAAUUUAAAAAAAUUCAGGUGUCCAUACUUUAAAUCCAGCACCUUUUCCUCUGCAGUAUACUUACUCUUACUGCCUGAACACAAUAAAAAGUUAACAAUAAUACAAGAAUUAAACAUGGAGGUACGAAAAGAAAGAUCUAAAAAGCGGCAUGUGCUGGCAUUCAAAAUGAAGAUUCCAAAGUCAAAAGGCUCUUGGUUCAGAAGUAGGAGAGGUCGUCAUG